CUCGGAAUAGCUCAGUUGGUAGAGCAUUUGACUGUAGAUUGUAAUUUUAAAUAAUUUAUUUAAAAAUAAAGAGAUAUCAAGGGGUCGCAGGUUCGAAUCCUGCUUCCGAGA